rnacentral:rRNA from 1 species
CGAAGCGUGCGAUUGGAUUGCACGUCUAAGCAGUAAGGCUGAGUAUUAGGCAAAUCCGGUACUCGUUAAGGCUGAGCUGUGAUGGGGAGAAGACAUUGUGUCUUCGAGUCGUUGAUUUCACACUGCCGAGAAAAGCCUCUAGAUAGAAAAUAGGUGCCCGUACCGCAAACCGACACAGGUAGUCAAGAUGAGAAUUCUAAGGUGAGCGAGCGAACUCUCGUUAAGGAACUCGGCAAAAUGACCCCGUAACUUCGGGAGAAGGGGUGCUCUUUAGGGUUAACGCCCAGAAGAGCCGCAGUGAAUAGGCCCAAGCGACUGUUUAUCAAAAACACAGGUCUCUGCUAAACCGUAAGGUGAUGUAUAGGGGCUGACGCCUGCCCGGUGCUGGAAGGUUAAGAGGAGUGGUUAGCUUCUGCGAAGCUACGAAUCGAAGCCCCAGUAAACGGCGGCCGUAACUAUAACGGUCCUAAGGUAGCGAAAUUCCUUGUCGGGUAAGUUCCGACCCGCACGAAAGGCGUAACGAUUUGGGCACUGUCUCAACGAGAGACUCGGUGAAAUCAUAGUACCUGUGAAGAUGCAGGUUACCCGCGACAGGACGGAAAGACCCCGUGGAGCUUUACUGUAGCCUGAUAUUGAAAUUCGGCACAGCUUGUACAGGAUAGGUAGGAGCCUUUGAAACGUGAGCGCUAGCUUACGUGGAGGCGCUGGUGGGAUACUACCCUAGCUGUGUUGGCUUUCUAACCCGCACCACUUAUCGUGGUGGGAGACAGUGUCAGGCGGGCAGUUUGACUGGGGCGGUCGCCUCCUAAAAGGUAACGGAGGCGCUCAAAGGUUCCCUCAGAAUGGUUGGAAAUCAUUCAUAGAGUGUAAAGGCAUAAGGGAGCUUGACUGCGAGACCUACAAGUCGAGCAGGGUCGAAAGACGGACUUAGUGAUCCGGUGGUUCCGCAUGGAAGGGCCAUCGCUCAACGGAUAAAAGCUACCCCGGGGAUAACAGGCUUAUCUCCCCCAAGAGUUCACAUCGACGGGGAGGUUUGGCACCUCGAUGUCGGCUCAUCGCAUCCUGGGGCUGUAGUCGGUCCCAAGGGUUGGGCUGUUCGCCCAUUAAAGCGGUACGCGAGCUGGGUUCA